rnacentral:tRNA from 1 species
GCCCCGAUGGCACAGUUGGAUAGCGCGGCUCCCUCCUAAGGAGCAGGUCGAGGGUUCAAAUCCUUCUCGGGGCGCCA